rnacentral:rRNA from 1 species
CCUACGGGAGGCAGCAGUGAGGAAUAUUGGUCAAUGGGCGUAAGCCUGAACCAGCCAAGUCGCGUGAGGGAUGAAGGUUCUAUGGAUCGUAAACCUCUUUUAUAAGGGAAUAAAGUGUGGGACGUGUCCUGUUUUGUAUGUAACUUAUGAAUAAGGAUCGGCUAACUCCGUGCCAGCAGCCGCGGUAAUACGGAGGAACCGAGCGUUAUCCGGAUUUAUUGGGUUUAAAGGGUGCGUAGGCGGCCUUUUAAGUAAGCGGUGAAAGUCUGUGGCUAAACCAUAGAAUUGCCGUUGAAACUGGGAGGCUUGAGUAUGUUUGAGGCAGGCGGAAUGCGUGGUGUAGCGGUGAAAUGCUUAGAUAUCACGCAGAACCCCGAUUGCGAAGGCAGCCUGCCAAGCCAUGACUGACGCUGAUGCACGAAAGCGUGGGGAUCAAACAGGAUUAGAUACCCCAGUAGUC